rnacentral:rRNA from 1 species
UACGUAGGUCCCGAGCGUUGUCCGGAUUUAUUGGGCGUAAAGCGAGCGCAGGUGGUUUAUUAAGUCUGGUGUAAAAGGCAGUGGCUCAACCAUUGUAUGCAUCGGAAACUGGUAGACUUGAGUGCAGGAGAGGAGAGUGGAAUUCCAUGUGUAGCGGUGAAAUGCGUAGAUAUAUGGAGGAACACCGGUGGCGAAAGCGGCUCUUUGGCCUGUAACUGACACUGAGGCUCGAAAGCGUGGGGAGCAAACAGG